rnacentral:sRNA from 1 species
UCUAUUGUACUAUCAAAUAAUUUAAAGACCGGAUUCUCUUAUCAAUGAAUGUGCGUGUUUCCUACAUUAAUGUUGAUCUAGAGGAAGAUCAAGUGUACAACAACUAUGUCCAAAAGAGGUGCAAUAUCUGAUCUUAACGACAGAAACUGGGACGAGGAGGAAGAGCCAGAAGAGGCUGGAGUAUUUCAACAAGCAUCCGACACAGUUUUACAACAAAGAACUUUUAAGAAAGCCAAAAGAAGAGUUGUGCCAGAAGAUAACGCUGUAAGUAGCAGCUAUGUU